GACGAACGCUGGCGGCGUGCUUAACACAUGCCAGUCGAACGGAAAGGCCCCUUUGGGGGUACUCGAGUGGCGAACGGGUGAGUAACACGUGAGUAACCUGCCCUUGACUUCGGGAUAACUUCAGGAAACUGGGGCUAAUACCGGAUAGGAAUCCUUGCUGCAUGGUGGGGGUUGGAAAGCUUCGGCGGUUUUGGAUGGACUCGCGGCUUAUCAGCUUGUUGGUGGGGUAGUGGCUUACCAAGGCUUUGACGGGUAGCCGGCCUGAGAGGGCGACCGGCCACAUUGGGACUGAGAUACGGCCCAGACUCCUACGGGAGGCAGCAGUGGGGAAUAUUGCACAAUGGGCGGAAGCCUGAUGCAGCAACGCCGCGUGCGGGAUGACGGCCUUCGGGUGGUAAACCGCUUUCAGCAGGGGCGAAGCUUGUGGUGACGGUACCUGCAGAAGAAGCACCGGCUAACUACG
rnacentral:rRNA from 1 species